UACAGAGGUCCCAAGCGUUGUUCGGAUUCACUGGGCGUAAAGGGUGCGUAGGUGGUCGGGUAAGUCUGAUGUGAAAGCUCGGAGCUUAACUCCGAAAUGGCAUUGGAUACUAUCCGGCUAGAGGAUCGGAGGGGGGACUGGAAUUCUCGGUGUAGCAGUGAAAUGCGUAGAUAUCAGGAGGAACAUCGAUGGCGAAGGCAGCCCCCUGGGCCUGUACUGACGCUCAUGCACGAAAGCGUGGGGAGCAAACAGG
rnacentral:rRNA from 1 species